AUCGCUAGGCAACAGUUAUUUUGCUAUAAUUCAGUUACCUACCAAAAUCAAGUCGCGCUUGCUUUCUUGCGCUAGAAAGUGAUUUUUAAAUUGACAUCCCAAAGACUGAACCAGUUGAAGAUGACUGACACGGCGCGGGACAAGGCCGCCAGGCUGCUGAGGAAGCAGGGAAGUGUGUCGUCCAUGUCGAGUGGAGACCUCCACGCAAAACAACACAAGAUCGGUUCGAUGAGCACCGUGUCAUACAUGGAUGAGCCUGGUCACGAGGAACACUUCCGACCUCCGAUACGACUGGAGAACACGUACCAGCUGACGCCAAUCAAACGCUUCCCCAACCUCAAGAUCCAGCAGCUGAUCAAGGACAGCAUGGAGGCCUACCUCAGUGAGGAGCGGUACGAACCCGAACUCUGCAGACAGAUGUCGAGGACACUCUCUGAGGUAAUCAAGGCUCGAGUAAAGGAGUUGGUGAUCCCGCGAUACAAGAUUAUCUGUGUGGUACAUAUAGGACAGCUGGCAUCCCAGGGCAUGCGAGUCAGCAGUCGGUGUCUGUGGGACGCGGGCAGUGACACGUUCGCAUCAUUUGAAUACCGCAACAGGUCUCUCUAUGCCAUUGGCUGUGUGUAUGGCAUUUAUUACGAAUAACUGGAAAAACACUUAGGUUCACAGGUCUCCGUGCGUAAUACCCUCGGUGCAAUGGCUUGAAAUAAUAUAAUAUUAUAGAAGUGUCCUUUUACGUGUGGGCUUUAGCUUUCGGUAUUUCAGCAUAUCAACAGUACGCCAAAGAUAUAAGUUAACAGAAUUUACCAUUCAUGCCAGAUUCAUGAUCGAAAAAUAUUUUUUUGUCUUGGAACAGAUGGAAGAUCAAUUUCAGAUUAAUAAUAUGAAGAUAUUUAAAAAAGGAAUAUAUCUUUUACUUAAUUCCAAAUGAGCUAAAAAAAGAAAGAAAAAAUAACUAUCAAUAUCUGAAUAAUGAUAUAAAUUUUUAUUUUUCAUAUGAAACCAACUGUAAUUGAGAUAAAGAAAAAGGGUUGAUUUUUGACACCCAAUAUGAUUUCAAAUAUAAUUUGAUAAAACUUGACUUUGAUAGUUGACUUUGAUAGUUAACGUGAACCAAGAGAAAUGUAUAUCGUCGAUUUUAAGGGUAAAAGGAAAGUAACCCCGACAUGUAUACAACAUUAAUUUUGGUCUGGGUUUAACUACUUUAUUAUAAAGUUAACAUUUUGUGAUAGGGUGAAAUGUUUUCUGCUGAAUAUUUGUAGAUAUAUAUUUCUUCCGGUGAUAUUUGGUUCAAGUAUACAUUGACUGAUUCUAGUAGCCUAAUAUUAUUAUAGUGAUGUAUUUGUUGUUAAGUACUGGUAUUUAUUCUUAAAUUAUAAUUACUAUAGUUAUCCAUGUUUGAUGUUACUUUGUUCUAAUGUUGAAAUAUUAGUGUAAGUUGGUUAAUAUUUCCAUAAUCACGUAUCAUUUUUAUAUAUAUAUAUAUAUAUAUAUAUAUGUUGUGUAUGUACAAAAAUAUGAACAUAAAUCAAAGAUAAUGUGCAGUAAAAUCAUGAAAAAUCAAAAUAAUUGUUUUACAGCAAGAUGAAAACCACAGUAAUUUUGCUUAGUGGAAAAGAUUUGAAUUCUAUUGUUCAAAUGUUAUUUUGUCACAUGCAAUAUAGGCAAAAAGCAAAUUGGAAGAUUUUCUAGUCACACUGUAUGUCAGUAUUUACUAUUGUCAUAUCAUGCCUAUUUUUCAUACCAUUUAGAAAAUCAUGGAAUACUAACAUCUAGGUUUUAUAAUAUUUCACAUUUCUAGAUAGUCCAGUACAUAUAUACCAGUGUAUUGGUAACUAGAUUAAUAUUGUAGGGCAUCAUUGAUAACACCCAGCUUAGAAAAGGUAACACCAUUUCAAAUACGUGGUCCCCACCCACUAUUUCAGAGAACCAGCCAUGCACGGAAUACAGAAAUACAGAUAAAGGUUGACAAGUUUUUCAUUGAAGUUACUGUACUGUACUCCCAAGUAAAUUCAGUGAUACGUGUUGAGGUCCAUAAAUGUUCAGUAUUGAAAAAUAAAGUGUGUCAAUGAGGCAUUCUAACUUGUAUAGAUAUUUCAGUAUGCUUUACACCCCAUUCGAUUCGGUUUCACAAUACAACUUAUAUAUUUAUGGCAAGAAAUAACUUUCCUCAUGUAUAAGGAUGAAGUAGUAAAUGUGGUGUUUGGGCAUUUUUUUAAAUGUAUAAUUUAUAUACAGUAUAUAUUUUGAUUAAAAUGUAUAAAUAUAAUUUUUAUAGUUUAAUAAAAGGCACUGUUCAUGUUUUGUGCACAGAUUCAAUGAUGGGUCACAAAAGACAUUUUCCUACUUGAACUCGAGUAAUUUCUCCUCAGUGCGUAGGUAACUUAAGCUUGUUUUAGUGCUUGAUAGGACAACCUCGCUAAAGUUUUCUUACCAUUAUGUCACUUGGAUUUCGUUAAACUUUAAGAUGUGUAAUAUUUUAUGAUUUACAGUAGUCAUGUUACACCUAAUGACUGUACACACCAAACUUUCCUUGUCAGUAAUGUAAUGUGUGCAGUAUGCAUCAGUUGGUGCACUCAUUUGUCAUGGGUUAGUUUAUUGUAACAUGGUUGAUGUUACUACACUCUGUUUACUCUGCACACAAUACAUGUUAAUUGUGAUGCUUAUCAUCCUGGUCAAACACCACUGAAUCAACAUGCUGAAAACGGAUCCGCUCGCUCCAUCUUUAAAGUUUUCAACUUUUUCUGAUAGCAGAAAAAGUGGGCAGUAGCAAGUGGAAUACUUGAAAUGACUAUUUUAAAUAACUACAGUCACUUCACAAAAUGGGUACAGAGGUGAUUAAAAACUAUUUGCAUGAACUGUCGGUUAAACACUCACACAUAUAUGCAUGCACACACACACACACACACUUGUGGUUUAGUCAUAGUCUAGUAUUGUCAAACAUCUUGUUAUCAGCCUUGAAAUACCUAUAUGCUUUAAAAGAUGGUGGUAUGCGGUAUCUUUGAUAUAAAAUACUGUUUUCACUUUAAGAGUAUAGUAUUAUGUUACCAGGGAGUUGUUUUAGUAUUUAGCAUGUGUACUGGGAAACUGUGUCUCCGGUGUUGUAACAACAGCUGCGGUUUGGUCAAAUCUUCAUUGUUUGUCAACCAGUCUAGUCUGUAGUUUCAAACAUCUGCACAAAAUUAAUGUUCUUCAUAUAUAUAAUUAUUUCUUAAUUAUUGUUUAAAUUGAUUGUUAUCAUGUUUCUGUGUUGAAUAUGCCAUUCUUGUUUGGCUUACUGUCUCCAUGUUUGAUGAAAAGAACAAUUUUAGCUUUGCAUCAUCAUUUGUUACUGUACCAAGAUGUAUCUCAUUCAGAUAAAAAUUAUUGUGAAAAAAGCCCAUGAAGUGUGCUUUUUUUAAAAGCAUUUAUAAUAUUAAUUGGUUGUGUCUUGAACAAAUAUAUUUUAUUGUAAAGUUGUAUUUUUAUUGAAUGUCUUCCUGUUCACACCAUUUAUAUAUCAAUCCACUGUUUAUAAGUUGGCAUGAGCUACCAACGUUAAUCAUGUCAUAGUAUUAAUUAUACAUCAACCACUGUUGAUACGUGAGCAUGAGCUACCAAGGUUUAUUAUGUCAUAGUAUUAAUUAUACAUCAAACCACUGUUGAUAAGUGGGCAUGAGCUACCAACGUUAAUCAUGUCAUAGUAUUAAUUAUACAUCAAACCACUGUUGAUAAGUGGGCAUGAGCUACCACGGUUAAUCAUGUCAUAGUAUUAAUUGUACAUCAAACCACUGUUGAUACGUGGGCAUGAGCUACUAAGGUUAAUCAUGUCUUAGUAUUAAUUAAUGAAGUGAGACAAACAUUAGUUAUCUGCCCUUUUGGUAAGUGGGCAUGGGCUACUGAUGUCAUGUAAUAGUAUUAAUACUGGCCUCAACAACCAGUUCUGUCUGAAUCAUGUGCAUUUUCUGUAGAUAUUAAUGUUAAAAAGAAAACCUAUUUUCAGUAUCAAAUUGGGUAAAUUUAAUAAUUUUGUAAUGCGUAAAUUUUUCAGUAUUCUCUUUUUAAGUGUUUGCAAACUGCUAGCCAUUUGUCCGAUAAAGAUGUUUAAAUUGUGAUCAAAAAGCUUUGUGUAAAACUAGAUUUCUUUGUGAAGUACCAUAUAUGUUUAUUUGAUGUUGUAAACUAAAGUAGUGGACAUUACUUGAAAGUUCAUGUGGUCCAAUAUAAUGAAAGAGUUUGAUAUGUUGUUGACCAAGUAGAAUAAAAUUCAGACGUGUCUAAGUUUCAAGACUAAAAUUAAGACCUCUACUAUUCAGCCCGGAGAAGUAUAUGCAUUUACCGUUUAUUGUAACACUCCCCAACCAGAUAGAUGGUUCUCUGUUUCCUUUAAACGGUUGUUUACAGUCAUAUAUUCUAUUUUGUACUGACCCUGUUAUCAAGAUCGGUUUGUUAUUUUUUGAAUGUAUAUUUUUGUAUUACUUGGUGUAACUCUAUUGUGCAUCCAUAUUUGAAAAUAAAUGUAUAUAUUCC
rnacentral:misc_RNA from 1 species